rnacentral:ncRNA from 2 species
AAGUUAAUAGGCGAUGGAGUUCGCCUAAAUGCUGAUAAGCUAAUGACUCCUACAAAUGU